rnacentral:rRNA from 1 species
UAAAGGUAUUCCGGUAGACGAUGGGGAUGCGUUCCAUUAGAUAGUAGGCGGGGUAACGGCCCACCUAGUCUUCGAUGGAUAGGGGUUCUGAGAGGAAGGUCCCCCACAUUGGAACUGAGACACGGUCCAAACUCCUACGGGAGGCAGCAGUGAGGAAUAUUGGUCAAUGGGCGAGAGCCUGAACCAGCCAAGUAGCGUGAAGGAUGACUGCCCUAUGGGUUGUAAACUUCUUUUAUAAAGGAAUAAAGUCGGGUAUGGAUACCCGUUUGCAUGUACUUUAUGAAUAAGGAUCGGCUAACUCCGUGCCAGCAGCCGCGGUAAUACGGAGGAUCCGAGCGUUAUCCGGAUUUAUUGGGUUUAAAGGGAGCGUAGAUGGAUAUUUAAGUCAGUUGUGAAAGUUUGCGGCUCAACCGUAAAAUUGCAGUUGAUACUGGAUAUCUUGAGUGCAGUUGAGGCAGGCGGAAUUCGUGGUGUAGCGGUGAAAUGCUUAGAUAUCACGAAGAACCCCGAUUGCGAAGGCAGCCUGCUAAGCUGCAACUGACAUUGAGGCUCGAAAGUGUGGGUAUCAAACAGGAUUAGAUACCCUGGUAGUCCACACGGUAAACGAUGAAUACUCGCUGUUUGCGAUAUACUGCAA